rnacentral:tRNA from 1 species
CAGAGCUUAGCUAAACAAGUAUAGCAUCUCCCUUACACUGAGAAGUUCCCCGUGCGAAUCGGGUAGCCCUGA